CUCCAAAGAGAGUAAAAAUAGAACUAGAAAUUGCAGGCUGCAAAAGCCAAACCCAGCCCCCCACUGGCAUCACAUUUCUUAUACUAACCCUGGACUGGUUUUUCUAUGUUAUGACUAUGUCACCCUCACCUCAUUCCUUUGGAGCAAUUAUCAGGGCUGUGCAACCUUCGAAUGGAAUCUGUGUUCAGCACAGGCAGUUAACAAGGGCAAAGUGAUCUAUAGUCAACAAAUGCACUUCAACAAGUAAGUGCUCGAUGCCCCACCAUCCUGAGGCAUUGGUUCAGUACCGAUUUAGAGAACUUCUGCUUAGAACCUCCCCCCGCUCCCACUUCUGCCUGACUUCCUGCUUCACACCUCGCUGCAUUUACAGCAAGAUAUCAUAAAUAAAAUUAGCUUUAAGCAUAUGCCGAAGUCCCAUUGCUUAAGUGCUGACCUGCAAAGGGGGUCAGGGCCUGAAUCAGGGCCUGGGUGUCUCACAGUGUCCUAGGUCACUUUUAACUCUGGCCUCCUUAGCAACGACACUGUGGUAUCCGAAAGAGGGACAGGGGAGGAGCUUUCUAAUGAUAUCUGAGACAUGACACAGAGCACACAAAGUCCUCAUCCGCAUCUGACUGUGGACAUGAACAAAUUGUGGCAAACCUCUACUAUGUGUGGCUGAUGAUGCCUAUUAUUUUGUGAGCAAGGAGUGAUUACUGGCUGAUUAGACUGUAGUUCUCAGUGUUAACAAGGAUUGAUAGUUAAUUAGACUUCUGACUUAACUGAGCCAGAAGUUUUACACUGCAGAAACAAUCGUAGUGAUGAUGUACGGUGCGAGGCCUGGCCAUGAAGCUAUUUCUGGCGGCUACGCUAUUUCUGUGCGCCAAAGCUUAAUAAAAGUAUAGGAUUUUUAAAAAAAUGCCUAGAAUAUGUUGCUAAAAUAGAACAACUACAGUGAGUACCUUGGCCUGGCCAGUUCAGGCCUGGAUAAGAUUCCCAUAUUGGUCUUCCCAAAAAAGUACACAGUGGUGGCAGACAGCCACUGGAAAGUGGCAGAAAUGAUUUCCAUGCCCAUAAUGCUAUUUUUACAAUUCCCAGAGUAUUUCUGGAAAGUCUGCCUUUCUAUAUAAUGGAAACAGUGGUGAUUGAUACUGGGCUACAGGUUGUUACGCUGCCAUGUGCCAUGGAGACCAUGGAGUCCAGUAUUAUGCCUACGGUAAUGGAAAAGUCAAUAUGGAUAUUGGCCCGAAGGUGCACCUACACAGGGGAAAAUGACCCGUUGUUGCCAUUUGUUGUUAGCAAUGGAUCCUCUCGGGACCAUCCUCAAUUGAAAAUGAAAAUUGUCUAUUACAGCGAACAGAUCCAAACUGUUUUCAACAGCUAUUGAAGAAGUUAAGGGGUGUCACAUACCUUUUGUGAUUGCUGUUAAAUGUGUGCCUGAAAAUGCAGUAUUACUGUAACAAUGGCAUAAUGAUUUGGUUUUAUUGCUCCUCAACUUCUCUAUCAAAUGUGCUCCUUUUAUAAGUGAAAAGGCAUUUUUUUUCUAAUUGCCAUCCCUGCAAAGUCAAUCUGGGCUCUAAGGGCUAUUCACAAGGGGGAUUUAGGCACCUAGCUGCCCCUUUAGGUGCCUGUGACACUCUGUACCCCAAAGUAGCACCCUGGAACCUCCAU